ACACUGCCUUCGCUUCUGAGGGCUCCCUGGCCUGGGAGAGUUUGAGCAGAAGUGUAAGUUUGGGUCUACAGAGCUCUCGAUGUCCUGACCCUUCACUCCUGUAGGAUUUGGGCUAGCCCCUUCUGAAGGAACAGGGACCCCUUUAGUGGGCACAGGCUGUGGUCAUAUUUCUUUUCUCUUUUUCUUUUCUAAUGUUUUUGAGGUAGCCUAGGCUGACCUCUGAGGAUAGCCCAAGUGCUGACACUUCAGGUGUGUGACACCAUGCCUGGCUACCGUCACAUUUUGUCACAUGCCUUUUGCCUGUACUUACUGACUGGAGAGCUGUUUAUUCAUGCUUUGCCCAUGUCAAAACUGGAUAACUGAUUCUUCUCUUUCACCUACAAGUUAGACCAGGAUGGGCAUUUUCAUGAGCCUAUUGCCUAGGGAGGUUUGUAAAUGAUAGACACAGGCAAGGCGGGGCCAGAGGAGGCUGAGGUGAAAAUCCAAGGAAAAAUCCAAGAGUCAGUCAGAUGGCAAAGAACUGAAGAAAUACUGGACCAUUGGAGGGUUCCCAGUGGGAAAGUGCGAACUUCAGGACGGGCCGUGUGGAGACUUCUGGGGCUGAGACGUGACUAACACAUUUCCAUGCUGAAGGAUGUGGUGGACUGGCAAGGGACUAGAAUAAGAGAUGACUUUGUUUUAGAUCUUAUGUAAUCUCCAAAGGGUCCCAGGAAGGAUGGGACCUCUGCUUGGAUCUGUGCUGAGUCUGAGGAUCACUGCAGGUCAGGGGAGGAGAACUCCUCGCUGGGUGUGAAGCGGAGAAAAUCAAGAACCGGUUGUAACUUGUUCCUCAGCAGCCCCAACUCUGAUAAGGUCUGCAGUAAGGGAGACAGAGUAAGUGGAGCAGGAAGAUAAAAACCUGAGCAGUCUGCCGUGAGAAGGAGCGAGAGCUUACAUGACACACAAAUCAGGUUUGAGAGCCAUUGUAACUGCUAAAGAGAUCAACUCCAUUAAAAAGAGAAACCCAGCUGGCAUGGUGGCGCACGCCUUUAAUCCCAGCACUCGGGAGGCAGAGGCAGGCGGAUUUCUGAGUUCGAGGCCAGCCUGGUCUACAGAGUGAGUUCCAGGAUAGCCAGGGCUAUACAGAGAAACCCUGUCUCGAAAGAAAGAAUGAAAGAACGAACGAAAGAACAAAAGAACGAGCGAAAGAACGAACGAAAGAACGAAAGAACAAAAGAAAGGAAAAGAAAAGAACCCCAGCACUCCAUACCAGGACAUGGGGAAAUAUUUAACUACAGAGACACCCCACCCCACGCCCCGGUGCCGUCGUGUGAAGAUGCAAAUUAAAUUGAAAAGAGAGA
rnacentral:lncRNA from 1 species